rnacentral:rRNA from 1 species
GACGAACGCUGGCGGCGUGCUUAACACAUGCAAGUCGAACGGUGAAGCGCCUUCCUUUUUGGUGGGUGUGGAUGAGUGGCAAACGGGUGAGUAACACGUGAGUAACCUGCCCCCUUCUUCUGGAUAACCGCAUGAAAGUGUGGCUAAUACGGGAUAUUCCGGGUCUGUCGCAUGAUGGGUCUGGGAAAGAUAUUGUUUCGGUGGGGGAUGGGCUCGCGGCCUAUCAGCUUGUUGGUGGGGUGAUGGCCUACCAAGGCGGUGACGGGUAGCCGGCCUGAGAGGGUGGACGGUCACACUGGGACUGAGACACGGCCCAGCCUCCUACGGGAGGCAGCAGUGGGGAACAUUGCACAAUGGGCGCAAGCCUGAUGCAGCGACGCCGCGUGAGGGAUGGAGGCCUUCGGGUUGUGAACCUCUUUCGCCAGUGAAGCAGGCCUGCCUCGUUUGUGGGUGGGUUGACGGUAGCUGGAUAAGAAGCGCCGGCUAACUACGUG